rnacentral:rRNA from 1 species
CGAGCACGCGCGUGUGGCAUAUCAAUAAGCGGAGGAAAAGAAACUAACUAGGAUUCCCUCAGUAACGGCGAGUGAAGCGGGAAGAGCUCAAAUUUGAAAUCUUCAAGGUUCUACCUUGACGAAUUGUAGUUUAUAGAAGUGUUUUCUGUUAGUGGAGUGGCAAAAGUUCUUUGGAAUAGGACAUCAUAGAGGGUGAGAAUCCCGUAUUUGGUCAUUCCUCCUAGCGUUGUAAUACACUUUCAACGAGUCGGAUUGUUUGGGAAUGCAGUCCAAAAUGGGUGGUAAAUUUCAUCUAAAGCUAAAUAUUGGCGAGAGACCGAUAGCGAACAAGUACCGUGAGGGAAAGAUGAAAAGAACUUUGAAAAGAGAGUUAAACAGUACGUGAAAUUGUCAAAAGGGAAGCGUUUGACACCAGUGUUGUUUUUCCGAAAAUCAAUUACGAAUGUUUUGUUUUUGAGGAGUUAUGACUUCAUCGGCUUGCUCCUUUCUUUACGAAACUUUCUUAAUGCACUUUUCGGUUAACAAGUCAACAUCAAUUUCUUUUGUUGUAAAAGGGUAUGAGGAAGGUGGCUUUCUUUUCGGAGAAAGUGUUUAUAGCCUUGUGCCUCUGCAAUCGGAGAGAUUGAGGUCUGCAGCGUAGAUCCUUCGGGGUUAGAUACGUUUGUGCUAAGUUAUAGCUUUUCAUAGACAACUUGUUGAUCUAUGUUUAGUCUUGUAGCUUACUCGCUGAUGCUAUUUUACCUACGCUUAGGAUGUUGAUGUGAUACUGCGAGCA